rnacentral:misc_RNA from 1 species
UUUCCGUAGGUGAACCUGCGGAAGGAUCAUUAUCAAAAGUCAAGUCGGGGGCUGUAAAGCUCUCGUCUACACCCAUGUCUUUUGCGUACUCUUGUUUCCUCGGUGGCGCAAGCUGCCGAUUGGACAAACCAAAACCUUUUUUGUAAUUGCAAUCAGCGUCUCUUCUGAGUGGAUUAUACAAAUGAAUCAAAACUUUCAACAACGGAUCUCUUGGUUCUG